rnacentral:rRNA from 1 species
AAGAUUAAUACGCAUAAGAUUGUAGUAUCGCAUGAUAUAGCAAUUAAAAGGAGGCAAUCCGCUAUAAGAUGGACCGCGUCGCAUUAGCUAGUUGGUGAGGUGAUGGCUCACCAAGGCGACGAUGCGUAGCCGACCUGAGAGGGUGAUCGGCCACAUUGGGACUGAGACACGGCCCAGACUCCUACGGGAGGCAGCAUG